UUUAAUAUUUAACUCUAUUUGUUGUUGUAUCCUUUUUUGUUUUUUUUUUUUAUCUUAUAUUUGUAAAAUGUCUUAGGUUUUGAUGUAUUUAGAGGAUAUAUAAAAUUUGGUUUUUGAACUGGAUUAGUACCCAGGUAAUCAAAGUUUAUUAAUUCGGGAGUAAAGUUUAGUUUAAACCGAAAAAAUAUUGACUGACUUUGGAUUUUUCUUUGGAAUAUGUGAUUUUUGGAUAGUCCUCCUUGUUAGUUAAUCUUGUUGGCGCAUGUAUGAUUGUUUAGUUUUUAUUUUGUAUUUGUAAUGUUAUUAUGAUUUUUAUUUUAAAACAGAUAUAUACUUGGCUUAUGGAUUAAUAUUUCAUGUGUUACUAUUAUUAAUUUUUUUUUGGAUUUUUUGUUAAUGUUUUUUUGAAAUUGGAAAAGAAAGUAAUUGAAUUUUUUAU
rnacentral:rRNA from 1 species